rnacentral:rRNA from 1 species
GGCUUAUUGAUAAUAAUUUUAAGUCUGACCUGCCCUAUGAUGAAAAUUAAAUGGCUGCGGUAAUUUGACCGUGCAAAGGUAGCAUAAUCAUUAGUUUUUUAAUUGAAAGCUUGUAUGAAAGGUUUGAUGAGAAAAUAGCUGUCUCUAUUUAAAUUUUAGAAUUUUAUUUUUAAGUAAAAAAGCUUAAAUAAUUAUAGAAGACGAGAAGACCCUGUAGAGUUUUAUAAUUAUUUAAAUAAUUAAUAUUUAGAAUUAUAAUAUUUAUUUAAGUAAUUAUUUAGUUGGGGUGAUUGAAAAAUUAAUAGAACUUUUUUUAAAAAAUAACACUGAUUUGUGAUUAAUUGAUCCUUGAUUUAAGAUUAAAAGAUAAAAUUACCUCAGGGAUAACAGCGUAAUUUUUUUUAGAGUUCUGAUCAAAAAAAAAGAUUGCGACCUCGAUGUUGGAUUAAAGUAAAAUAUAGGUGUAGAAGCUUAUAGGUUAGGUCUGUUCGACCUUUAAAACUUUACAUGAUCUGAGUUUAAACCGGUGUAAG